rnacentral:rRNA from 1 species
GACGAACGCUGGCGGCGUGCCUAAUACAUGCAAGUCGAACGCAGUGGGGACGGGUGAGUAACACGUGGGUAACCUCCCAUCAGAGGGGAUAACACUUGGAAACAGGUGCUAAACCGAUACUGAUGGAUGGACCCGCGGUGCAUUAGCUAGUUGGUGAGGAAACGGCGCACCAAGGCCACGAUGCAUAGGCGACCUGAGAGGGUGAGCGGCCACACUGGGACUAAGAGACGGCGCAGACUCCUAGGGGAGGCAGCAGUAGGGAAUCUCCGGCAAGGGACGAAAGUCUGACCGAGCAACGCCGCGUGAGUGAAGAAGGUUUUCGGAUCGUAAAACUCUGUUGUUAGAGAGGCGGUAUCUAGCCAGAAAGCCACGGCUAACUACGGGCCAGCAGCCGCGUAAUUC